rnacentral:rRNA from 1 species
CAAUAGCGUAUAUUUAAGUUGUUGCAGUUAAAAAGCUCGUAGUCGGAUUUUGGCUGAGAACGAACGGUCCGCCGUUAGGUGUGCACUGUUUGGUCUCAGCUUCCUGGUGAGGAGGUGUGCUUCACGGCCACUUAGUCACCGUGGUUACUUUGAAAAAAUUAGAGUGUUCAAAGCGGGCUUACGCUUGAAUAUAUUAGCAUGGAAUAACACCAUAGGACUCCUGUCCUAUUUCGUUGGUCUCGGGACGGGAGUAAUGAUUAAGGGGAACAGUUGGGGGCAUUCGUAUUUCAUUGUCAGAGGUGAAAUUCUUGGAUUUAUGAAAGACGAACUUCUGCGAAAGCAUUUGCCAAGGAUGUUUUCAUUGA